rnacentral:rRNA from 1 species
UACAGAGGUCUCAAGCGUUGUUCGGAUUCAUUGGGCGUAAAGGGUGUGUAGGUGGCGCCGUAAGUCGGGUGUGAAAUUUCGGAGCUUAACUCCGAAACUGCAUUCGAUACUGCGGUGCUUGAGGACUGGAGAGGAGACUGGAAUUCAUGGUGUAGCAGUGAAAUGCGUAGAGAUCAUGAGGAACACCGGUGGCGAAGGCGGGUCUCUGGGCAGUAACUGACGCUGAGACGCGAAAGCGUGGGGAGCAAACAGG